GUUUCGUUGGUGCAGUGGUAGCAUGCCCUCUUAGGGUGAUUUCCGAGUCGCUUUGGGGGUGGUCCUCGGUUCAAUCCCGGGACGAGACC
rnacentral:tRNA from 2 species